UUUUAAUGUGUUUAUUUCAUUUAUUACAAUUUUCAUUAGCCAAUAUUUAUGCUAUUGUUCUCCCAUUAUCCCAUGCUUCUCUCUUUAGAUAUUACUACCGUUCUGUUGAUGUGUUAAGAUUUCUUGACUUGAAACUCAAUAGCUAAAACAGAUACAGUACUCUGCUCAAUAUAUUAUUGCAAUAAUAUCAACCAUUCCACAAGACAGAAUCAGAGUAUAACAAAAGAAGAAUUCAAAUGAAAAUUAAGACACACAAACAAAUAAAGCAGUAACCAGCUCCUUUGAGAGUGGAACUCUCUCCCUAAAAGCCCUUAGCAGCUUUUACCAAAAUAAGACCUAGGGCAUCAAUCCCCAAAACAUUCCUUAUUUAUGCUAACAGACAAGUGGGUCCCAUUGACUUUCCCUUCCUUUCAAUUGAUCUCUCUCCAAGCAGCCCCAGGUACAUUUCCUCUCUUGCCCCUCCUUUUAUAGGUAUGCAGAAUUGGAAGUUUAACAAUACAGGCCGGUUCGAAGUGCACCUUGUCCCUAAGGUGGAAAGAAGGAAGCUGUUGAUUCAUGAGAUAUGCAGACAACCGGGUGGCCUCACUGUCCGGCAACUUUUUCGAUUUGAUCAACCAUUCAUUGCCUCCGAUUUCUCUGUUCCACCUCACCCCUAACACAGUUUCUGGUCUCAGUUGUAACUCAAACUCUUCUGUCAAUGCUUGAGGGCAGUGCUGAACCUGCAGUUUCUGUCCCAACUUCUUUUUCAAUUGAGAUACGUGGAAUACCUUGUGAAUCAGAGCUUCGGGUGGUAGAUCUAAACGAUAAGCCACUUCUCCUUUUUUUUUCAAUGAUACCAUAAGGACCUAGCUAGAGAACGCUGCUGGUAUGGGCUCAGUUUCAAGCAGACCUCAUCACCUACCUGAAAGUUUAAUUCCCUGCAAUGUGAGGGGGAGGUUUACAAUAAACCACCUGGAAAGGAGUCAAUUUAGACAAGCAUGAAAUGUAGUGUUAUACUACAACUCUGCCCAGGGUAUAGAUUUGCUCCAUUUCGCCGGCUGCUCAUUGCAAAAACACCUUAUGUAAGUUUCCAAACAUCGAUUCACCCUUUCCAUUUGGCCAUCGGUCUGUGGAUGAUAUGCUGUUCUUCUUUUUAACGAAGUUCCCAUUGCUGCAAAUAAUUUAUUCCAAAAAAUGCUUAAAAAAUCUUGUCAUGAUCGAUAACUAUCGACUUUAGGAUCCCAUGCUUACUGACCACCCCCUUUCUAUAAACACAUCAGCCACUUGUUUGGCAGUAAUGGAUGUCUCAGGACAAUGAAGUGGCUGAGUUUACUCAGUCUAUCAACCACCAUCAUAAUGGAAUCAUAGCCUCCCGAUUUUGGUAGUCCUUUGAACUCCAUGGUCCAUUCUUCCAAUAUCAAUUCUGGUAAUGGCAACUCUUGAAGGAAUCCAGCCGGUAACAAGGACUCGAAUUUUUUUCGUUGGCAUGUUUCACACUUUUUAAUGUACUUCACAUUGUUGCCAACAACUGGUUGUCUCUCAAAACCGGGAACACCUUUCAUGUGUAGUGAUGUCGGAGCUGUAUACCAGAAUAUCUUCGAAGAAUACCAACACGAAUCGAUGAAGAAAGGGACAAAACACUUGAUUCAUGGGGGACUGAAAAGUGGAGGGGCAUUUGAUAAAUCAAACGGCAUGACUAGAAACUCAUAUUGGCCUUCAUGUAUCCAUAAUGCAGUUUUCUCAAUGUCCCCUUCUUCCAUUCUUAUUUGGUGGUACCCAAACAGAGGUCCAAUUUUGAAAACACGGCUGCUCCUUCAAGCUCAUCUAGUAGCCCUUCAAUUAUUAGAAUAGGGAAGUUAUUAGCCCUUCAAUUAUUAGAAUAGGGAAGUUAUCUGCUAUGUUACCUGAUUCAGUUUGCAAUAAUCAAUGCAAAAACACCAUCCGCCAUCUUUCUUUUUUACCAGCAAUAUUGGGCUUGAAUAUGGACUUCGACUGGGGCAAAUCAUUUUUGCCUCAAGCAUCUCCCUAACCAGCUUCUCUCUUCCUCCUUUUUUGUAUGCAUCCAUAC